rnacentral:rRNA from 1 species
UACGUAGGGGGCAAGCGUUGUCCGGAUUUAUUGGGCGUAAAGCGUCCGCAGGUGGACAUACAAGUCUGCUGUCAAAGUGCAGAGCUUAACUCUGUAAAGGCGGUGGAAACUGUAGGUCUUGAGUAUGGUAGGGGUAGAGGGAAUUCCCGGUGUAGCGGUGAAAUGCGUAGAUAUCGGGAAGAACACCAGUGGCGAAAGCGCUCUACUGGGCCAUAACUGACACUGAGGGACGAAAGCUAGGGGAGCGAAAGGG